CCCUUAGAUGUUCUGGGCCGCACGCGCGCUACACUGAUGCAUUCAACGAGCCUAUCCUUGACCGACAGGUCCGGGUAAUCUUUGAAUCUGCAUCGUGACGGGGAUAGAUUAUUGCAAUUAUUAAUCUUCAACGAGGAAUGCCUAGUAGGCGCAAGUCAUCAGCUUGCGUCGAUUACGUCCCUGCCCUUUGUACACACCGCCCGUCGCUCCUACCGAUUGGGUGUGCUGGUGAAAUGUUCGGAUCGGCCGUUUGUCGCGGUUUCCGCGUCAUGUGGCUGAGAAGUUCAUUAAACCCUCCCACCUAGAGGAAUGAGAAGUCGUAACA
rnacentral:rRNA from 1 species